rnacentral:rRNA from 1 species
CCAUCCCAGUUCGGAUUGCAGGCUGCAACCCGCCUGUAUGAAGUUGGAAUCGCUAGUAAUCGCGGAUCAGCAUGCCGCGGUGAAUACGUUCCCGGGCCUUGUACACACCGCCCGUCACACCAUGAGAGUCGGGAACACCCGAAGUCCGUAGCCUAACCGCAAGGAGGGCGCGGCCGAAGGUGGGUUCGAUAAUUGGGGUGAAGUCGUAACAAGGUAGC